rnacentral:rRNA from 1 species
UAUCUCUGUAGAGUCUGCAUAUCAAUAAGCGGAGGAAAAGAAACUAACAAGGAUUCCCCUAGUAACGGCGAGUGAAGCGGGAAGAGCUCAAAUUUGAAAUCUUAAAGGUUUUCCCUUGACGAAUUGUAGUUUAAAGAAGUGUUUUCUGUUGAGUGUUUUGGUAAAAGUUCUUUGGAAUAGGACAUCAUAGAGGGUGAGAAUCCCGUAUUUGACCAUUUACUUUCAGCUUUGUGAUACACUUUCAAAGAGUCGGAUUGUUUGGGAAUGCAGUCCAAAAUGGGUGGUAAAUUUCAUCUAAAGCUAAAUAUUGGCGAGAGACCGAUAGCGAACAAGUACCGUGAGGGAAAGAUGAAAAGAACUUUGAAAAGAGAGUUAAACAGUACGUGAAAUUGUCAAAAGGGAAGCGUUUGACACCAGUGUUGUUUUUCUGAAAAUCAAUUAAAGAACUGUUUAUGCUAAGUUGUUUAGACUUUAUCAGCUAACUGUUUAGUUUUGAGCUUUUCUUUAAUGCACUUUUCAGUUAACAAGUCAACAUCAAUUUCUUUUGCUGUAAAAAAGCUUGAGGAAGGUGGCUUGAGAUUCGUCUUAAGUGUUUAUAGCCUCUUGCCUAUGCAGUCGGAGAGAUUGAGGUCUGCAGCGUAGAUCCUUCGGGGCUAGAUACGUAGAUGCUGAGUUAUAGUUUUUUAUAGACAACUUGUUGACUAUAAUUAAUCAUGUAGCUUACUCGUUUGCGCUAUUUUACCUACGCUUAGGAUGUUGACGAUCAGCUGAGCGCG